CUGGGCGUAAGGAUGCGUAGGCGGACAUUUAAGUCAGAUGUGAAACCCCCAGGCUUAACUUGGGGACUGCAUUUGAAACUGGGUGUCUUGAGUGCAGGAGAGGUAAGUGGAAUUCCUAGUGUAGCGGUGAAAUGCGUAGAGAUUAGGAAGAACACCAGUGGCGAAGGCGACUUACUGGACUGUAACUGACGCUGAGGCAUGAAAGCGUGGGUAGCAAACAGGAUUAGAUACCCUGGUAGUCCACGCUGUAAACGAUGAAUACUAGGUGUGGGAGGUAUCGACUCCUUCCGUGCCGCCGCUAACGCAAUAAGUAUUCCGCCUGGGGAGUACGAUCGCAAGAUUAAAACUCAAAGGAAUUGACGGGGGCCCGCACAAGCAGCGGAGCAUGUGGUUUAAUUCGAAGCAACGCGAAGAACCUUACCUGGACUUGACAUCCCCUGAAUAACCUAGAGAUAGGCGAAGCCCUUCGGGGCAGGGAGACAGGUGGUGCAUGGUUGUCGUCAGCUCGUGUCGUGAGAUGUUAGGUUAAGUCCUGCAACGAGCGCAACCCUUAUCCUUAGUUGCUACCAUCAAGUUGAGCACUCUAAGGAGACUGCCCGGGUUAACCGGGAGGAAGGUGGGGAUGACGUCAA
rnacentral:rRNA from 1 species